rnacentral:rRNA from 1 species
UGAGGAAUAUUGGGUCAAUGGGCGAGAGCCUGAACCAGCCAAGUAGCGUGCAGGAUGACGGCCCUAUGGGUUGUAGACUGCUUUUAUAAGGGAAUAAAGUGAGAGUCGUGACUCUCUUUGCAUGUACCUUAUGAAUAAGGACCGGCUAAUUCCGUGCCAGCAGCCGCGGUAAUACGGAAGGUCCGGGCGUUAUCCGGAUUUAUUGGGUUUAAAGGGAGCGUAGGCCGGAGAUUAAGCGUGUUGUGAAAUGUAGACGCUCAACGUCUGCACUGCAGCGCGAACU